rnacentral:rRNA from 1 species
AUGCUUGACAACGAGAUGGAAGAGAGCCGGAGCGGCGUCAUUGAGAUGUACGACGUGUCCUAUGAUGUCCUCCAUGCUUUUUUCCACUACAUGUACACGGGUGAGGCUCUCCUGGACGAGCAAAUGGCCUGCGAUCUCCUGGUGUUGGCCGAGAAGUAUGAGGUAAAGCACCUGAAGACCUACUGCGAGAAGUUCAUCACAUCCAAGGUGAACAACGACAAUGCCAUCGUCCAUUAUGCGUUUGCGCACCGGCACGGCGCGAAGCAGCUGCUCGAGGCCUCCAUGUCGGCGCUCAUGGAUAGCAUGCCCACGCUGGCGGAGCGGGGAGAGUACAAGGAGCUUGUCGAGAGGGACCCGAGGAUCCUCGUGGAGAUCUACGAGACAUAUGUCAGCCGACAGGACAAUACUGCCGCCAAGAGGGAUUCAGAUUGCUGCUGUAGAAAGUGA